AUUGCACGCUAUCGGGCUGCCUUACACAUGCAAGUCGAACGGUGUGGCGAACGGGUGAGUAAUGUAUCGGAACGUGCCCAGUAGCGGGGGAUCACUACUCGAAAGCGUAGCUAAUUCCUCAUAUUAUUUGAUCCGCCGAUAUCUGAUUAGCUAGUUGGUGGGGUAACGGCUCACCAAGGCGAAGAUCCGUAGCUGGUUGGAGAGGCCGACCCGCCACAAUGGGACGGAGACACGGCACAGAAGCAUACGGGAGGCAGCAGUGGGGAAUUGUGGACAAUGGGGGAAACCCUGAUCCAGCCAUCCCGCGUGGGCGAGGAAGGACUUCGGGUUGUAAAGCACUUUGGGCAGGAAAGCGGUACCUGCAGAAUAAGCACCGGCUAACUACGUGCCAGCAGCCGCGGUAAUUC
rnacentral:rRNA from 1 species